rnacentral:rRNA from 1 species
CGCGUAGGCGGCUUUAUAAGUCUGGAGUGAAAGUCCUCUUUUCAAGGGAGGAAUUGCUUUGGAAACUAUAGAGCUUGAGUGCAGGAGAGGUUAUCGGAAUUCCCGGUGUAGCGGUGAAAUGCGUAGAUAUCGGGAGGAACAUCGGUGGCGAAGGCGAGUAACUGGACUGCAACUGACGCUGAGGCGCGAAAGUGUGGGGAGCAAACAG